GGCGACAUCGCCAAGUGGUAAGGCAAUGGUCUGCAAAAUCAUUAUCCCCAGUUCGAAUCUGGGUGUCGCCUCCA
rnacentral:tRNA from 2 species